rnacentral:tRNA from 22 species
UGGGCUUGUAGCUCAGUGGAUUAGAGCACGUGGCUACGAACCACGGUGUCGGGGGUUCGAAUCCCUCCUUGCCCGA